rnacentral:rRNA from 1 species
AUUGAACGCUGGCGGCAUGCCUUACACAUGCAAGUCGAACGCGAAAGUAGGGGCAACCCUGCGAGUAGAGUGGCGAACGGGUGAGUAAUGCAUCGGAACAUUUCCAGUAGCGGGGGAUAACCUCGAGAAAUCGAGGCUAAUACCGCAUACGUCCUACGGGAGAAAGCGGGGGACCGCAAGGCCUCGCACUAUUGGAGUGGCCGAUGCCGGAUUAGCUAGUUGGCGGGGUAAAAGCCCACCAAGGCGACGAUCCGUAGCUGGUCUGAGAGGAUGAUAGGCCACCCUGGGACUGAGACACGGCCCAGAGUCCUACGGGAGGCAGCAGUGGGGAAGUUUGGACAAUGGGCGCAAGCCUGAUUCAGCCAUGCCGCGUGAGUGAAGAAGGCCUUCGGGUUGUAAAGCUCUCUCGGCCGGGACGAAAUCGCACCCUUUAAUACGGGGUGUGGAUGACGGUACCGGAAGAAGAAGGACCGGCUAAUUACGUGCCAGCCGCCGCCGUAA